rnacentral:rRNA from 1 species
GACGAACGCUGGCGGCGUGCCUAAUACAUGCAAGUUGAGCGCUGAAGGUUGGUACUUGUACCAACUGGAUGAGCAGCGAACGGGUGAGUAACGCGUGGGGAAUCUGCCUUUGAGCGGGGGACAACAUUUGGAAACGAAUGCUAAUACCGCAUAAAAACUUUAAACACAAGUUUUAAGCUUGAAAGAUGCAAUUGCAUCACUCAAAGAUGAUCCCGCGUUGUAUUAGCUAGUUGGUGAGGUAAAGGCUCACCAAGGCGAUGAUACAUAGCCGACCUGAGAGGGUGAUCGGCCACAUUGGGACUGAGACACGGCCCAAACUCCUACGGGAGGCAGCAGUAGGGAAUCUUCGGCAAUGGACGAAAGUCUGACCGAGCAACGCCGCGUGAGUGAAGAAGGGUGUCGGAUCGUAAAACUCUGUUGGUAGAGAAGAACGUUGGUGAGAGUGGAAAGCUCAUCAAGUGACGGUAACUACCCAGAAAGGGACGGCUAACUACGUG